AGAGCGAACGCUGGCGGAAUGCUUAACACAUGCAAGUCGCACGGCCGGGUAAAACCGGCAGUGGCGGACGGGUGCGUAACGCGUAGGAACAUGUCCGGAGGUGGGGGACAACCCUGGGAAACUGGGGCUAAUACCGCAUGUGUCCUGAGGGACAAAGCCUUUCGGGGCGCCUUUGGAGUGGCCUGCGUCCGAUUAGCUAGUUGGUGGGGUAAAGGCCUACCAAGGCUGCGAUCGGUAGCUGGUCUGAGAGGACGAUCAGCCACACUGGGACUGAGACACGGCCCAGACUCCUACGGGAGGCAGCAGUGGGGAAUAUUGGACAAUGGGCGCAAGCCUGAUCCAGCAAUUCCGCGUGGGUGAAGAAGGUCUUCGGAUUGUAAAGCCCUUUCGGCGGGACGAUGAUGGACGGUACCCGCGAGAAGAACGCCCCGGCUAACUCGCGCCAGCAGCCGC
rnacentral:rRNA from 1 species